rnacentral:lncRNA from 1 species
AGAAAGGGCGGGGUGGAGGAGGGGGAAGGGCGGGGGUGAUGCCGCGCGGUCGCAGGCUUGGGAUGGUGUUCGCGCCUCCGAGACCCGGACAGAGGCAAGCAGGGGCGCCGUGGGUGCCAGAGAGGCGGAAGAGGAGGCCUGAUGGGGUCAGCACAGUGUUUCCGGAGCCCCACGUAUCAACAGCCCAGUGCCGGGAGCGCCAGGGGCUCCAAGGAAACUAUCAGACCCAUUCCCUGUCCCCAGGAAGCUUACCAUCCAGCGGCACAGAGAAGGCUCACCAUGGACUCCAUUCAAGAACGAGGCAGGAUAGGAUGUGAAUAAGUGCAAGGUGUGAGUGACUGACAGUAAGUGCAAGGGGGUUCAGAGAAGUGGCAGCUCCAAGCCUGCUUCUGCUGAAGCUGGAGGGCUUAUCUGUCAAGAACCCCCAACUCAGGAAGCUCUGCUCCAAGUGAGCUGAGUAAGGAGAGUCUGCCUCCAAGUUGUUCCUCUGCAGGUGACUGUGCUCCAUGCUAAAUCAUUCCUUGCACGGGCAGAAGCUGUUUGGCAUUGCACCAGUGUCUGAUUUUGUUUGAAUAUGGUGCCUUUGGCUUAAUCAGUCAGACAUGCAUUCAACAACUAUUUAUUUAUUUAUUUAUUUAUUUAUUUAUUUAUUAUUUUGAGACAGAGUCUCGCUCUGUCGCCAGGCGGAGGUUGCAGUGAGCCGAGAUUGAGCCACUGCACUCCAGCCUGGCAACAGAGUGAGACUGUCUCAAAAAGUAAAUAAAUAGAAACUCUUGGUUCCAUGCGUAGUCUAGCAUUUUGUAGCACUUCUAAUCACGAAGUUAUUUUUAAUAUUUGUUUGGUCUGUUAUACAAAAUGUAGACUGGAUGGCUUAUAAACUACAGAAAUCUCUCACAGUUCUGUAGGCUAGAAAGUCUAAGAUGAAGAUGCCAGCAGCCUGCUUCCUGGUUCAUACAAGGUCAUCUUCUCACUGUAACCUCACAGUGAGAGGAAGGGCCUAGGGGUGACUCUGGGAUCUCUUUUAUGAGGCACUAAUCCCAUUAAUGGGGGCCCCCCACCCUCAUGGCCUAAUCACCUCCCAAAGGCCCCACGAUUGCCUUGGGUGUUAGGAUUUCCACAUAUGAAUUUUAGGGGAACACAGACGUUCAGGCCAUAGCAAAUAUCUUGCCCAAAUAUCUCUAGUUCCAUCCUUUUGGUCACUCUCAGACCAGAACAUUUACUGAGUGAUUACUAUGUCCCACAAAAUUCUUAUUUAACCCUCAGAAAAACCGUCUGGGGGAAGCAUUGUUAUCACUCCUAUUUCAUGAGCAGUUAUGUAACUUGCCCCAGAUAAGACUUGGUUAUGGCACAGAUUCUGUGUUGGAGCCUUCAGACCACUCUACUUCCCAAGCAGGGGAGGAACAGAACAUUAAAGAUUUUCUUGGCCUUGGCUUUCAUUUCUUCAUCGUGGUUCUGAAAGGAAAAUUGGCUACAGUCUUAAAUGUAUGUGUGGGCCCACGCUAGAAGCUCAGCUCUCAGUGCCAGCCACACUGAGCCCUGGUCUCCCUAACUUCCGGGCCUUUACUCUGCUUGUCAUUGGGCUGAUAACCAAGAUCCAGCCUAGAGCACAAGAAGACAAACGCUGCGUGAUCUCGUGUGUAGAACCUAACAAAGUGGAACUCACAGAAGCAGAGAGUAGAAUGGUGGUUGCCUGUUGGAAUGGGGAGAUGGUCAGAGAAUGCAAACUUUCAGUUGGAUGGGAGGAAGAAGUUCCAGAGAUCUAUUGUGCCACAUGGUGACAAUAGUUAAUAACAAUGUACUGGGCGGGGGGUGGUGGCCUACGCCUGUAAUCCCAGCACUUUGGGAAGCUGAGGCAGACAGAUCACUUGAGGUCAGGAGUUCUAGACCAGCUUGUCCAACAUGGUGAAACCCCGUCUCUACUAUAAAACUACAAAAUUAGCCAGGUGUGGUGGUGUGCGCCUGUAAUCUCAGCUACUUGGGAGGCUGAAUCGCUUGAACCCAGGAGGUGGAGGUUGCAGUGAGUCGAGACUGCGCCACUGCCCUCCAGCCUGGGUGACACAGUGAGACUCUGUUUCAAAAAAACAAAAAAAGCAAUGUACUGUAUACUUGAAAAUUGCUCACAGAGAUUUUAAAUGUUCUCACCAUUACAAAAUGAUAAAUAUGUGACAUAAUGCAUAUGUUAAUUAGCCCGAUUUAGUGAUUCCACAGUGUAUACAUAUAACAAAACAUGUUGUACACCAUAAAUGUAUACUAUUUUUAUUUGCCAAUUAAAUAUAUUUUUUUAAAGUU